AACGCACAUUGCGCCCCUUGGUAUUCCGGGGGGCACGCCUGUCCGAGCGCCGUUUUCACCCCUCAAGCCCGGCUUGUUGUUGGGGCCCCACCCGCCCAGCGGGUGCGCCCUCGAAUGCAUCGGCGCGGCCACCGGCCACCCCAGACACCGCGUUGUCGGAGGGUGGACGGCGAGUCGCCGCCUCGAAAACGUACCGCAAAACUUGGCCUCGGAUCAGGCGGGGAUACCCGCUGAACUUAA
rnacentral:misc_RNA from 2 species